AGCAGCCGCGGUAAUUCCAGCUCCAAUAGCGUAUAUUAAAGUUGUUGCAGUUAAAAAGCUCGUAGUUGAAUUUCGGGAUCGACGGGUCGGUCGCGCCUCCGGUGUGUACUGGCCCUGUCGGUUUCUCCCUUCUGAAGAACCGCGAUGUCAUUAAUUUGGUGUCGUGGGAAAUCAGGACUGUUACUUUGAAAAAAUUAGAGUGUUUAAAGCAGGCAUUCGCUUGAAUACAUUAGCAUGGAAUAAUGAAAUAGGACGUUUGAUCUUAUUUUGUUGGUUUCUAAGAUCGACGUAAUGAUUAAUAGGGAUAGUUGGGGGCAUUAGUAUUCAAUUGUCAGAGGUGAAAUUCUUGGAUUUAUUGAAGACUAACUACUGCGAAAGCAUUUGCCAAGGAUGUUUUCAUUAAUCAAGAACGAAAGUUAGGGGAUCGAAGACGAUCAGAUACCGUCGUAGUCUUAACCAUAAACUAUGCCGACUAGGGAUCGGAUGAUGUUAAUUUUUAAUGACUCAUUCGGCGCCUUAC
rnacentral:rRNA from 1 species